rnacentral:rRNA from 1 species
CCCUUAGAUGUUCUGGGCCGCACGCGCGCUACACUGAUGCAUUCAACAAGCCUAGCCUUGACCGAGAGGUCCGGGUAAUCUUUGAAACUGCAUCGUGAUGGGGCUAGAUUAUUGCAAUUAUUAAUCUUCAACGAGGAAUGCCUAGUAAGCGUGAUUCAUCAAAUCGCGUUGAUUACGUCCCUGCCCUUUGUACACACCGCCCGUCGCUCCUACCGAUUGAAUGUGUUGGUGAGGAGCUCGGAUUGGCAGCAGUUGGUGGUCCGCCACCGGCUAUUGCUGAGAAGUCCUCCAAACCGCCCCAUUUAGAGGAAGGAGAAGUCGUAACA